rnacentral:rRNA from 1 species
GACGAACGCUGGCGGCGUGCUUAACACAUGCAAGUCGAACGCUGAAGACCUGGCUUUUGUUGGGUUGGAUGAGUGGCGAACGGGUGAGUAACACGUGAGUAACCUGCCCUCUUCUUUGGGAUAACGCCCGGAAACGGGUGCUAAUACUGGAUAUUCACUGAUCUUCGCAUGGGGGUUGGUGGAAAGGUUUGUUCUGGUGGGGGAUGGGCUCGCGGCCUAUCAGCUUGUUGGUGGGGUGAUGGCCUACCAAGGCUUUGACGGGUAGCCGGCCUGAGAGGGUGACCGGUCACAUUGGGACUGAGAUACGGCCCAGACUCCUACGGGAGGCAGCAGUGGGGAAUAUUGCCCAAUGGGCGAAAGCCUGAUGCAGCGACGCCGCGUGAGGGAUGGAGGCCUUCGGGUUGUAAACCUCCUUCGCUCAUGGUCAAGCCGCAACUGUGGGUUGUGGUGAGGGUAGUGGGUAAAGAAGCGCCGGCUAACUACGUG